rnacentral:rRNA from 1 species
UAUACAGGUCAUUAUGUGCCACAACUAGCUGACCUUGUCUAUGAGAGGAACAAAGACAAGAAGGCCAGCACAUACAUCAACUUUAAAGGGUUCAUUGUUGGAAAUCCACUAACUGAUGAUUACUAUGACUCGAAGGGAUUGGCCGAAUAUGCUUGGAGCCAUGCAGUUGUAUCAGAUGAAGUUUAUGAUCGCAUAAAAAAGGAUUGUGAUUUUAGAGCCUCAAAGUGGACCGAUGAUUGCAACAAAGCCAUGAACACCAUCUAUGGACAGUACCAGUUGAUCGACAUAUACAACAUUUAUGCGCCCAAGUGCAAUCUUGGACAAACAUCAGCAGCAUCUGUUGUUGAUAAAGCACUCGAAUAUAGUGACCAUGAACCUUCCAGGAGGAGGAUUAGGUUGUUCUCGGGAUACGAUGAGUGCUACUCAUCUUAUGCUCAAGAGUACUUCAAUAAGGCAGAUGUGCAAAGGGCACUUCAUGCAAAUGUCAAUGGGAUGUUGCCUGGGAAAUGGCAAGUUUGCAGUGACUCCAUUCUGAAGUCGUACAACUUUUCGGUACUUUCCAUUCUACCAAUAUACUCCAAGCUCAUCAAAGCAGGACUGAGAGUCUGGCUCUACAGUGGAGAUGCGGAUGGCAGGGUCCCAGUGAUCGGGUCACGAUAUUGUGUGGAAGCACUUGGCUUGCCUAUCAAGUCACAGUGGCAACCAUGGUACCUGAACAAACAGGUUGCUGGAAGAUUUGUGGAGUACCAUGGUAUGACCAUGGUGACAAUAAGAGGGGCUGGCCACUUGGUACCCCUCAACAAGCCCACAGAAGGGAUAGCGCUGAUCGACGCAUUCCUUCUUGGUAAACAGCUUCCUACACACCGAUGA